rnacentral:rRNA from 3 species
UUGGGAAUCUUCGGCAAUGGGCGCAAGCCUGACCGAGCAACGCCGCGUGAGUGAUGAAGGUUUUCGGAUUGUAAAGCUCUGUCUUCCGGGACGAUAAUGACGGUACCGGAGGAGGAAGCCACGGCUAACUACGUGCCAGCAGCCGCGGUAAUACGUAGGUGGCGAGCGUUGUCCGGAAUUACUGGGCGUAAAGGGCGCGUAGGCGGCCUGUCAAGUCAGAUGUGAAAUCCCCGGGCUUAACCCGGGAACUGCAUUUGAAACUGGCGGGCUUGAGGGCAGGAGAGGAAAGCGGAACUCCCAGUGUAGCGGUGAAAUGCGUAGAUAUUGGGAGGAACACCAGUGGCGAAGGCGGCUUUCUGGACUGUCACUGACGCUGAGGCGCGAAAGCCAGGGGAGCGAACGGG